GAUGAACGCUGGCGGCGUGCCUAAUACAUGCAAGUCGAGCGAACAGAUGAGGAGCUUGCUCCUCUGACGUUAGCGGCGGACGGGUGAGUAACACGUGGAUAACCUACCUAUAAGACUGGGAUAACUUCGGGAAACCGGAGCUAAUACCGGAUAAUAUAUUGAACCGCAUGGUUCAAUAGUGAAGGACGGUUUUGCUGUCACUUAUAGAUGGAUCCGCGCCGCAUUAGCUAGUUGGUAAGGUAACGGCUUACCAAGGCAACGAUGCGUAGCCGACCUGAGAGGGUGAUCGGCCACACUGGAACUGAGACACGGUCCAGACUCCUACGGGAGGCAGCAGUAGGGAAUCGUCCGCAAUGGGCGAAAGCCUGACGGCGCAACGCCGCGUGAGUGAUGAAGGUCUUCGGAUCGUAAAACUCUGUUAUUAGGGAAGAACAAAUGUGUAAGUAACUAUGCACGUCUUGACGGUACCUAAUCAGAAAGCCACGGCUAACUACGUG
rnacentral:rRNA from 1 species